rnacentral:tRNA from 1 species
GCGUGGCUCAGUUGGUCAGAGUAAGGGAAUGUUAAUCUCUAGGUCGUCGGUUCGAUUCCGUCUAA